rnacentral:misc_RNA from 1 species
GAUGAAGAACGUAGUGAAAUGCGAUACUUGGUGUGAAUUGCAGAAUCCCGUGAACCAUCGAGUCUUUGAACGCAAGUUGCGCCCGAAGCCAUUAGGCCGAGGGCACGCCUGCCUGGGCGUCACACGUCGUUGCCCCCCCCAUCUACUCCUUUGGGAUUGCGGGGGGCGGAUGAUGGCCUCCCGUGCGCCUCGCCGCGCGGUUGGCAUAAAUGCCAAGUCCUCGGCGACGCACGCCACGACAAUCGGUGGUUGCGAAACCUCGGUUGCCCGUCGUGUGCGGUCGUCGCGCAUCGAGGGCUCGAAAAAAUUGCCGAGUUCCGGCUCGGCUUUCAACGCGACCCCAGGUCAGGCGGGGUUACCCGCUGAAUUUAAGCAUAUCAAUAAGCGGAGGA